rnacentral:rRNA from 1 species
AGGACGAACGCUGGCGGCGCGCUUAACACAUGCAAGUCGAGCGAGAACCAGGCCUUCGGGCUUGGGGAAAGCGGCGAACGGGUGAGUAACACGUGGGCAACCCACCCUUGGUACCGGGAUAGCCCGAGGAAACUCGGAUUAAUACCGGAUGGCCCAACAGCUCUUCGGGGCGGUUGGAAAAGGUAGCUUCGGCCUCCGACCAAGGACGGGCCCGCGGCGGAUUAGCUUGUUGGUGAGGUAACGGCUCACCAAGGCGACGAUCCGUAGCUGGUCUGAGAGGACGAUCAGCCACACUGGGACUGAGACACGGCCCAGACUCCUACGGGAGGCAGCAGUGGGGAAUCUUGCGCAAUGGGCGAAAGCCUGACGCAGCGACGCCGCGUGGGGGAAGAAGGCUUUCGGGUUGUAAACCCCUUUCAGGAGAGACGAAGCUACUCGGGUUAAUAGCCCAGAGGGUGACGGUAUCUUCAGAAGAAGCCCCGGCUAACUACGUGCCAGCAGCCGCGGUAA